CUUCUAGAAUUCUGCUUUAUUUUGGGGCUAUUAACACGCAGUACUUGAUUUCAUAACAAUUUCUAAGCUGAUUCUGGUUUGUGAACCACAUUUGGAAACAUUGGAUCAGAAUUCUCUUUGGGCUGGGAAAAGACGAGUUCAGCUCCUGCUAAUGUACCUGCAAAAGCAGUGGAUCAUGACCCAACUACUAGAGCCCUUGCACCCAUGUGAUAGUUCCAGAAGAAGCUCCUGGCUCCUGAUUUCAGAUGGGCCCAGCUCUGGCUGUUACAGACAUUUGUGGAGUGAACCAGCACAUGAAAGAGAUAUACAAAGAACUAAAUGAGAAGGUAUGGGCACUGCUACUGUGACUCAGUUGGCGUCAUGCAUCACCAUGAUCAAUUUCUGCUUCUGCUUCCAAUCCAGCUCCCUGCUAAUGCUCCUGAAUAACAAAUGGCUCAAGUAUAAAACCAUUUCAUCCUCAGAGGAUGGAAUGAUAUUCCUAGUUCCUGGCCUUAGCUUUGGCGUAGCCCAGCGUUGGGUGUUACAGGCAUUUGGCUGUGACCACAAAUUCUGAACACAACCUAAGCCACAAAAAUGAACACUGCUAUAUAUACAAAGAUUAUAUCAGAAAAAUCUCUUAUCCAGUUCACAGAGCUGGAAAGUAAACUUCUAAAACUCCCUCAGGGCGAGACAUCACAUAGAUCAAAAUAGCAUACCACAGGAGCUAGAACUCUGAGGAAGAGGGGCCUUCUUGGCUGAUUGUGGAAGCCGCUUUCAGGGGGAUGGAACACAUCAUUGUUUUAGACUCCCAGGAUACUCCUAGGACUUAGCAACUGAUGUGGGAGUAGUUACCAAUUGUGUCCAAGAGUCAAUAAGUGAAGCCCAGAUUUCUAGACAAAAGACAGAAGGAGAGCCCUAACAAACCAAAAGAAGUAGAAACACUAAGUGAGUAUGUGGGAAAAUGACUAUUAACCUUGUAUUCAAAGCCCUACACAUUCUCUUGAUUUGAAUGGGAAAAUAGAAGCAGCAGCAAGUCAAAGAUGCAUGAGGAAUCAAGUGUAAAUGUCACUUAGAAAAUAUAAUUAGAUGUAAGAAAAAAAUUCACCAGAUUAGCUCAAUUGAAAUGAAAAAGAAAAGAAACAGUGAACUUGAAGAUAGAUCAAUAGAAAUCAUUCAGUGUGUGUACAAAGGAAAACAUGAAAACCAGAAACAAAUUCUCAGGACUCGCUAGUAAAUGAACAAAGGACGAAAUUUUCAUUUGAUAGGCAUAUCAGUAGAAAUGAAACAAAAAAUAUAGUGCUGAAAAUAUUUACAAAUUUGCCUGAUAAUUUUCUAAAUUUGAUAAAAGAUCUAAAUCUAUAAAUUUGCAAAUCUCAGAGACCCACAAAUAAAGUAAAUUAUCUGAUUUUUUAUUUAACUAUCAAGAUUUUUUGACUGCCUCUACAUAAUGAUAAAACUGUUGAAGACUAAGAUGGGCAACCUAUCCUACAAGCAAGCAUAAUAAAAGUAAACAUGUCCUGAAAAUGUUUUGAGUGAAUACAGAUUUCUUUUUUUCAAAAAAUAUAUUUAUUUAUUUUAUUUGAAAGUCGGAGUUACACAGAGAUAGAAGGAGAGGCAGAGAGAGAAAGAGGUCUUCCUUCUGCUGGUUCACUCCCCAGAUGGCCACAAUGGCCAGAGCUGUGCCAAUCUGAAGCCAGGAACCAGGAGCUUCUUCUGGAUCUCCCACUUGAGUGCAGGGGCCCAAGGACUUGGGCCAUCUUCUGUUACUUUCCCAGGCCAUAGCAGAGAGCUGGAUCAGAAGUGGAGCAGCCAGAACCCAAACUGGCACCCAUAUGGGAUGCUGGCACUGUAGGCAGCAGCUUUACCCACUCUGUGAAUACAGAUUUCUGACAGGCACUUAGAGAGAAAAAAUGGGCAUAGUAUUUUAAAGUGCUGAGGUAAAAGUCUAUAGCAAAUGGAACUUCACUGAAGGAAUGAAGGUGAAAUAAAAACAUUUUCAGUUGAAGAAAAUCUGAGGGAAUACUUUACUAUCAUAUUUGCCCUUAAAGGAUGGGUACUGCAAGAAAGAUCAAGACCGAAUAGAAAUAAUGCUAGUCAGAAACUUGGAAUGUUGAUUAUGUGCCAAGGGCAAUGGCUUGGUAAAUAUCUGGGUAAAUUAUUUACCUCUUGACUUUUUUGCAAAGCAGUUGAUGAUUAAAACAAAAAUUAUGGCACUACCUGACUUACUUGUCAAUCUACAUAUAGGUAAAUUUUAGAAAACUAGCAUGUACAAGGGCUUAGAAAAUAGGCUUUCUGCAUGCUUCAUUGAUUUGUAGGAUGUUGUAUGUAAGUAUAUUGUGAAAUGUGACUAUGCAUGUAUAGUUAUUAAAUCAAUUCUAUAAAAAUGUAAGGAGAUAAAGUCACAAUUACAUAUCUUAAAAUAUAUUUCUAUAAACACUCAAAUAAAACAAGAAAGAAUAAAAAUCAGAUGAAACAAAUAAAAGCAAAUGAGGAAAAGUAUAAAACUGAUUCUGAACACUCUCAUAAUGAGAUUUAAUUGUGUAAAUAUAAAUGCUAACUGUCUAAUGUGUCUGUAUUCCACAUCAGAAUGGCAGGGGCCAAUUUUUGGCUCCCACUCCUGAAUUCAGCUUCCCACCAAUGCAGACUUUGAGAAGCAGUAAUGAUUGCUAAAAUACUUGGGUUCUUGGAUUGUGUUCCAGGAUCUGGGACCCAAGCCCUGCCCAGUUCCUGCUAUUGCGGAUAGUUUGUGAAUAAGCCAGCGGAUGAAAAUUCUUUCUUUCUCUCUCCCUUUCUCUCUCUCUCUCUCUUUCUCUCUCUCUCUCUCACUCUCACUCUCUCUUGCUCUCUCACUCUUUCUCUCUAAUGAAUAUAUAUUAUUAAAUUCAAGGUACCAGGUGGAAAGAUGAGGCAGUACUCAUGUUCCUUUGCCCCAAAGAUAGGCCUACACAGGUAGUUUCAACACUCAUGAUGUGAAAAAUUUGAAGAGAAAUCUCUAAUAAAAUCUACAAACUAAGCUUGUAUAACAAUUUAACUUCUAUAAAGACUUUAAUAUUAAAAUUGAAACCCAUUUGGUUUUAAAUGGUAUUGUACUUGAAUGUAUCUAAGACAUAGGCCCCACUAACUACUAUGCAGAAGCUAGUGUACAUUCAUACAGCAUAGUUACAUGUUAGGUACAUGGGUAGGUAAUCAGUGUCAACUAAGUAAGCCAAAAAAAUAGAUAAUGUUUUCCAGUUUGCCAGUGGAUAGGUAUACCUGACACAGUCCAUAAAGUAUUAAGGAAAAAUAUUUAAAUCUAUACAUAUACAAAUAUAUACAUAUCUAUAUGUAAAUUUUUAUUGAAGCAGAUUUUAAUCAAAAUAAAUUAUGAAAAGAGUACAACUGAUGGACCAGGUGGGCAUCUCAGUAAAGAACAGAGAGCCCAGUCUGCAUUCAGACUGAAAUUUUUAAUGGAUUCAGUAUGGGCCCUCUCUCUCUUCCCCGUUUGGUAUGUGUCACUGGGUGGAGGGCUUUUUGGGUGUGUAAUUCCCCAAAAUUCCUAAAGAACCUCAUAGUAGCCCCUUUGAUAAAAGGUAGGAGAGACCACAUUCAGCUGUCUCCUUCCCCAAAAGGCUAGGACCCAAUGAGCCAGGUUAUUGAAAAAUGACAAAACUUUUGAUAUGUAAAUGCUGGUUUGUCACUACAUUUCUUCCCUCAUUCAACCACAUAAUGGUUUAAUUUGCAGUAUUAAUAUAUUCCAAUCAAGACCAGUUGGCCAUUUUAUUAACAACUAAUUUAUUGAUUUCUGUCAGUAAAUGGGUAUGAUCAAAUAGCCAAAUGAUUAUAAUUUUGCUCAUUAUUUGUGUUUUUGAGGCAUUAGACAUGUUUAAAUAAUUAUUUGUAGUAUAUUACAUAUAUUGGAAAUAUCUUUCGAUAGUACCCUUUAUAAAAUGACUACAAACAUAGUAGUAUUGUUUGUGAGACAUAGACCAUUUUGUUAAGAAUGGUACUUGUAAGAGUUGACUAUUUGGGAAUUUCUUGAAGAAUAUGUUGAGGUGAAAGGAAUUAGUUAGAAUGGAAAUGGUAGUAAAGUAGAAAGGACUAAGGACCCCUUUGGCCAUAUGAAAAUUUUCUUAACCUAGCUAGGAAACCAGCCUGGGCUAGGAAGAAAGUUUAAUAAUGGACACAUAAUGAAUUUUGUUGGUGAGUCAGGAGAAAAGUAGGCUCUGAUGUCAAGGCUACAUGGAAGGCCAGGUGGCUGUGGUUGUCUGUGACCAGUCUCAGGAGUAUUGUGAGGAUAAACAGCUCCCCUCACA